rnacentral:rRNA from 1 species
UAUGUGAUCGUCUCUCGCAUAUCAAUAAGCGGAGGAAAAGAAACUAACAAGGAUUCCCCUAGUAACGGCGAGUGAAGCGGGAGAGCUCAAAUUUGAAAUCUUAAAGGGUUUCCCUUUACGAAUUGUAGUUUAAAGAAGUGUUUUCUGUUGAGGUUUUGGUAAAAGUUCUUUGGAAUAGGACAUCAUAGAGGGUGAGAAUCCCGUAUUUGACCUUUACUUUCAACUUUGUGAUACACUUUCAAAGAGUCGGAUUGUUUGGGAAUGCAGUCCAAAAUGGGUGGUAAAUUUCAUCUAAAGCUAAAUAUUGGCGAGAGACCGAUAGCGAACAAGUACCGUGAGGGAAAGAUGAAAAGAACUUUGAAAAGAGAGUUAAACAGUACGUGAAAUUGUCAAAAGGGAAGCGUUUGACACCAGUGUUGUUUUUCUGAAAAUCAAUUAAAGAACUGUUUAUGCUAAGUUGUUUAGACUUUAUCAGCUAACUGUUUAGUUUUGAGCUUUUCUUUAAUGCACUUUUCAGUUAACAAGUCAACAUCAAUUUCUUUUGCUGUAAAAAAGCUUGAGGAAGGUGGCUUGAGAUUCGUCUUAAGUGUUUAUAGCCUCUUGCCUAUGCAGUCGGAGAGAUUGAGGUCUGCAGCGUAGAUCCUUCGGGGCUAAAUGCAUUUGUGCUAUGUUAUAGCAUUUUAUAGACAACUUGUUGACUAUGAUUUGUCUUGUAGCUUACUCGCUUAUGUUAUUUUACCUACGCUUAGGAUGUUGAGCGCAUGUCUCUCUCU